UACAGAGGGUGCAAGCGUUAAUCGGAAUUACUGGGCGUAAAGCGUGUGUAGGCGGCCGCGCAAGUCGGAUGUGAAAUCCCCGGGCUCAACCCGGGAAGUGCACCCGAAACUGCGAGGCUUGAGUACCGGAGAGGUUGGUGGAAUUCUCGGUGUAGAGGUGAAAUUCGUAGAUAUCGAGAGGAACACCGGUGGCGAAGGCGGCCAACUGGACGAGUACUGACGCUGAGACACGAAAGCGUGGGGAGCAAACAGG
rnacentral:rRNA from 1 species